UACAGAGGUCCCGAGCGUUGUUCGGAUUCACUGGGCGUAAAGGGUGCGUAGGUGGUGGGGUAAGUCUGAUGUGAAAUCUCCAGGCUCAACCUGGAAAUGGCAUUGGAAACUACCUUGCUGGAGGGUUGGAGGGGGGACUGGAAUACUUGGUGUAGCAGUGAAAUGCGUAGAUAUCAAGUGGAACACCAGUGGCGAAGGCGAGUCCCUGGACAACUCCUGACACUGAGGCACGAAAGCCAGGGGAGCAAACGGG
rnacentral:rRNA from 1 species